UUUAAGUACAACCUAUUUUGAUCGUUCAUCUUAUUUAAUUUUUUUUAUAAUUUUAUUGUUAUGAGAUGAUAAAACUUGAAUAGUACUUUAUAUGUAACUUAUGUUUUUAUUUUUUUUUUCAAAAAAGACGAAUGAUUAAAAUUGUAUACGAAAAAUCAUAGCUAUGUUUAAA
rnacentral:pre_miRNA from 1 species